GGAUAAACCGUAAUCGUACCCCCUCCUAACUGCCAAAGUGUCAUGGCCGCCGUCGGGACCUAUUGUGCUGACAUUUACAAUGUUUACAUAUAGAAAAGUUUGUUUUUUUCUGCUUAUAAUGCCGUUUUCUAAAGAUAUUAGUGAACAAAAUCGAUUUGCUAACAAUAUUUAAUAUAUUUUAAAUGUGCUAAAAUUGGAUUCAACAGCAAAAGUCGCAUAAAUAACAUAUAAAUAACGAAUUUGUUCACCUAUUACAAAUGGGGUUAUGUGGUUGUAACUGUUUAUUUUGGGAAUAAAAUGAAAAUGAUCAAUUAAACGACUGGAAAACUAUAGUGAAGUGAAGAACAUCUUGAAGUUCCAAUGAUGUUUCAAGAUGAGGUAAAUCGAAAUAAUUGUAUGUUAGAAGGACAGAGAAUAUGAAGAAAUGUUAUUGCUGCAUAUUUAGUGUAGUGAAAUACAAACUUCAAACAUUAUAAUAUAUUUUUUGAUUUCAAACAUUUCAUAUGAUUAUGAAAGAACAUCUUUCUUUUUAAAACAAUGAAGAAGUGAAGAACAUAAUAAAGUUCCAACGAAAAUGAUUCCAGAUGAGGAAAAUCGAAAUAAUGGUUGUAUGUUACAUGUAUAGAGAAUACGAAGAAAUGUUAUUGCUGCAAACUUAGUGUAGUGAAUUAAAAACUUAUUGUCAAAUACAAAUCAAUUUAUUUCAUACUUUUAUAAUAUAUAGUGAUAUAAUUUUAUAUGUGUUCAAAUAAAAAUAUUAAUAAAUAAAAUACAAUAAACACAAA